rnacentral:tRNA from 1 species
GUGGCCGUAGCUCAGUUGGUUAGAGCACCAGAUUGUGGCUCUGGAGGUCGAGGGUUCAAAUCCCUCCGGUCACCCCA